GCCAAGGUGGCAUAGUGGCUAACGCACCUGCCUAGUAAGCAGGAGACCCGGGUUCGAUUCCCGAACUUGGUA
rnacentral:tRNA from 1 species